CAGAGGGUUGUUUGGUUCAGCAACAGAUGUGAUCACAAAGCUAGUUUCAUUCCAGUACUGCAUGGUACAGGGCAACUCUGAGCAUUCACUUGAAACAGAAUGGGGUAUCAUCAAAUAAUUAUGUUUAUGAGCAGUACUGCCAUGAAUGAGUGAAUGUAAUGACAAUCAUAAUGAAAACAGAUGCUGAUAUUUACAUGUAUUUAAAGUAAAUUUCAUUGAUCAUAAAAAAUGAUCUAUUGUAGGCUUUAAUCUUAAUUUAGAGAUAAUUACAUGAUAGUGCAAUUCCAGAUAAUAGCCACAUGACCUUCACCAACUAAUCUUGUCAGUAGACCUGACACAGAGUAAAUGAUCAACUUUCUGAUUUACUUCAUUUUGGCUCAGGUCAAUAGUGACUUACACUUGGCAUAGUAUAGGAUGCCGGCACUAUAUAAAAAAAAAAACAAAAAACCACAAACAAACAAAAAAAAAACUGCUGUAGGGUUUUAAAUGGCUCGGUAAACUCAGUAUUUUUUUUUCUUUUUUUUUUUUUUUUUUUGAAAAUUAUUAUUCUGGUCUUCUGGGAAAUGAAAUAAAAGCAUUCUUUAUUGCACAGAUGACAUUGAUCUUCAGUAACUCCUGAUCUGGACUGAUACAGGUGGUUUUGAGCCAUUCUCCUCCUAGGGAGUUGUUCUCCGUUCUCUUCACCAUCUCAGCUGCCCAGUCUGUACACCCACCUCAAGUUUUGUGACAUGUUUGCUGGAAGUACCUGUGAAAUCCAUUGAGAAUGGAUGAGCACUGGAUGCGUUGCUGGUAGAGGGUCACCAGCACAGAAGGGUCAGCUGGCUACUACUGUGGAAGUUCGAUCAUAGAAUCGCAGAAUGGUUUGGGUUGGAAGGGACCCAAAGAUCACCUAGCUCCAACCCCCUUGCCAUGGACAGAGAUGCCGUCUACUAGACCGUGUUGCUCAAAGCCCCAUCCAGCUUGACCUUCUCUGGGCAACCUGUUCCAAUGUGC
rnacentral:lncRNA from 1 species